rnacentral:rRNA from 1 species
GGUUAAGCGACUAAGCGUACACGGUGGAUGCCCUGGCAGUCAGAGGCGAUGAAGGACGUGCUAAUCUGCGAUAAGCGUCGGUAAGGUGAUAUGAACCGUUAUAACCGGCGAUUUCCGAAUGGGGAAACCCAGUGUGUUUCGACACACUAUCAUUAACUGAAUCCAUAGGUUAAUGAGGCGAACCGGGGGAACUGAAACAUCUAAGUACCCCGAGGAAAAGAAAUCAACCGAGAUUCCCCCAGUAGCGGCGAGCGAACGGGGAGCAGCCCAGAGCCUGAAUCAGUGUGUGUGUUAGUGGAAGCGUCUGGAAAGGCGCGCGAUACAGGGUGACAGCCCCGUACACAAAAAUGCACAUUCUGUGAGCUCGAUGAGUAGGGCGGGACACGUGGUAUCCUGUCUGAAUAUGGGGGGACCAUCCUCCAAGGCUAAAUACUCCUGACUGACCGAUAGUGAACCAGUACCGUGAGGGAAAGGCGAAAAGAACCCCGGCGAGGGGAGUGAAAAAGAACCUGAAACCGUGUACGUACAAGCAGUGGGAGCACAGAGCAAUCUGUGUGACUGCGUACCUUUUGUAUAAUGGGUCAGCGACUUAUAUUCUGUAGCAAGGUUAACCGAAUAGGGGAGCCGAAGGGAAACCGAGUCUUAACUGGGCGUUAAGUUGCAGGGUAUAGACCCGAAACCCGGUGAUCUAGCCAUGGGCAGGUUGAAGGUUGGGUAACACUAACUGGAGGACCGAACCGACUAAUGUUGAAAAAUUAGCGGAUGACUUGUGGCUGGGGGUGAAAGGCCAAUCAAACCGGGAGAUAGCUGGUUCUCCCCGAAAGCUAUUUAGGUAGCGCCUCGUGAAUUCAUCUCCGGGGGUAGAGCACUGUUUCGGCAAGGGGGUCAUCCCGACUUACCAACCCGAUGCAAACUGCGAAUACCGGAGAAUGUUAUCACGGGAGACACACGGCGGGUGCUAACGUCCGUCGUGAAGAGGGAAACAACCCAGACCGCCAGCUAAGGUCCCAAAGUCAUGGUUAAGUGGGAAACGAUGUGGGAAGGCCCAGACAGCCAGGAUGUUGGCUUAGAAGCAGCCAUCAUUUAAAGAAAGCGUAAUAGCUCACUGGUCGAGUCGGCCUGCGCGGAAGAUGUAACGGGGCUAAACCAUGCACCGAAGCUGCGGCAGCGACGCUUAUGCGUUGUUGGGUAGGGGAGCGUUCUGUAAGCCUGUGAAGGUGUGCUGUGAGGCAUGCUGGAGGUAUCAGAAGUGCGAAUGCUGACAUAAGUAACGAUAAAGCGGGUGAAAAGCCCGCUCGCCGGAAGACCAAGGGUUCCUGUCCAACGUUAAUCGGGGCAGGGUGAGUCGACCCCUAAGGCGAGGCCGAAAGGCGUAGUCGAUGGGAAACAGGUUAAUAUUCCUGUACUUGGUGUUACUGCGAAGGGGGGACGGAGAAGGCUAUGUUGGCCGGGCGACGGUUGUCCCGGUUUAAGCGUGUAGGCUGGUUUUCCAGGCAAAUCCGGAAAAUCAAGGCUGAGGCGUGAUGACGAGGCACUACGGUGCUGAAGCAACAAAUGCCCUGCUUCCAGGAAAAGCCUCUAAGCAUCAGGUAACAUCAAAUCGUACCCCAAACCGACACAGGUGGUCAGGUAGAGAAUACCAAGGCGCUUGAGAGAACUCGGGUGAAGGAACUAGGCAAAAUGGUGCCGUAACUUCGGGAGAA